UGGCUCAAUUGUAGAGUGCUUGCCUUGCAUGCAUGAGGCCCUGAGUUCGAUCCUCAG
rnacentral:tRNA from 1 species